GGCUCCUAUGGGAUUCCAGUCUCAGUCAUUCACAGAAUGGAGAGAUGGUAAAAGGAUGUCCAUCGGAUGCCUGAAUUCUUCCCAUUGUGUGGGGGGUCUAUAAACAGGCCUAAGGUUUCAUCUCAGCUCCACGAACUGCCACUUUUGUAAUAUCAUCCCUCUCUGAGCCUCAGUUUCCUUAUUUGUGAAAUGGGCACAGUAAGAUUCAGACUUAUGGUUUUUGUGAAAAGGAAACACAAAUUAUCCAUAGAGAGUACUUAACUACCUUGUAGGCCAUUUAUCACCUCAAGGAAAUCUUAGCCUCUGAGAGGCUCCAAAAUAUAAAUAUUUUUUGGAAUUAGGAGGUUCCUAGGAAACUCAAAGCACAUGUUCCCUGGAGAUUUCCCAUGAAGUGUUUGUCAUUAUAAGUUCCCACGAAUGGCUCAGCCUAUUGCUUUUGCCUGAGAAUAGGCUUGUAGUUAAAAAACAAAAAAACCCUGAAGAGCAUUCAAAGAGCAGGUAUCCUUGAGAAUGCCAGGUGUGGGAGGCACAUAGAAGACAAGACAGGAGUGAGCCACACCACGGCUCAACAGAAGCCCUUGGGUACUUCAGGAAGUAAGUCCUAUUUUUUGAAGGCCCUAUGCUUGGAGGCUCAUCUUUGCCAUGUAGUUCCCAAGAGUUGGGGUGCCUGACGUAGCUCACAAAACCCUCAGUCCUCUGGGACAACUUCUGUAUUAUGAGAUCCUCCUGACUGUGGGUCACCACACCUGGAGUGGGGUUUCUUGUGAGACUGUGUCUCUGCCUCUCCUGUUUCCAUAUAUUUUGUGCUUUUAUCCGUUAUUUUACAGACACUGUUAAGCUAUCUUUCCGAUCCUUUUCAGAGGGAAUUGUUCCAUAAGCAGCUGUUGAAUCCUUGUGUUCAUGGGAAGAGAGAGAAGGGAGAAGGCUUUCAUUUAAGCCCAAAUUAAGAUAGCCACCCAGGAUACAAAAUCUUCACAAAGAAGAGACUUCUCUGAGGAAGGAACAGUCAGUGCAGGAUUACAUAUGUUUUUUUCACACGAAGCAUCAUAAAUCAUCAUGGCCAAUGACAUUCCAGAAAGUUACAGACUUUAUCUCAUGUCUUAGUAUCUGCAAGACUGUAUGACUUUAAUCUUAUGGAAACCAGGGACAUGUGUUUCUUGUUCUUUAUGUUUGAAAUGCUCCUUUUUGGUUAUUUUUAUUUUUAUUUUUUGAAGCUUUCAAUUUUUUAUUUUUU